GCUGGCGGCAUGCCUUACACAUGCAAGUCGAACGGCAGCGCGGGGCAACCUGGCGGCNAGUGGCGAACGGGUGAGUAAUAUAUCGGAACGUACCCUGGAGUGGGGGAUAGCGUAGCGAAAGUUACGCUAAUACCGCAUACGAUCUAAGGAUGAAAGUGGGGGAUCGCAAGACCUCAUGCUCUUGGAGCGGCCGAUAUCUGAUUAGCUAGUUGGUAGGGUAAGAGCCUACCGAAGGCAUCGAUCAGUAGCUGGUCUGAGAGGACGACCAGCCACACUGGAACUGAGACACGGUCCAGACUCCUACGGGAGGCAGCAGUGGGGAAUUUUGGACAACGGGCGCAAGCCUGAUCCAGCAAUGCCGCGUGAGUGAAGAAGGCCUUCCGGUUGUAAAGCUCUUUUGGUCAGGGAAGAAACGGACUUUUCUAAUACAGAGGUCUAAUUGACGGUGUACCUG
rnacentral:rRNA from 1 species